CUCUCAUAUUAAUAGGCAGUUCUGUGCUACUGGCUAACAUCAAACUUAUUCACGUUGUGUCAAGUGGCAGUUUUGCGUAUACCGUCUGUAAGGUCCUUCUUCAACAUUGAAAAGAUCAUUCAUCUUGACCCUUCAAAGGCACCCCCAAAGAAAGGAUUCAUCGAAGGCUUCAAGGAAUCCUAUAGUAAUGCACGAAUAUCAGCUGAAAUUAAAGAAAGGAAACAGCGGGACUUGAUGAGAUUUAAAAAGGCUGGUUCGGGACCUGUUGUGAAAACAUAUGCAACUGAUCCAACAAAGAAGACGAUGCCAACGAAAGAAAGGGUUUCUGCAAAAAACAGAUAGGCUUACAUUUUGUUGCAAGCAGGCAGUAAUUUGAUCUAUCUUAGAACAGAUAUUGUGAAUCCUGUUGACGUUUAUGCAAACUAGAAGCCUGUGUGUGCAAAGACCUAUCUGACUCUGAGUGAGAGAUGAUACUAAUGAUCAAUGAUACUUUCAGAUAUAGGAAAAUAAUUCACACGUACUUGGUGCAAAAUGGUGCACUGGUGCUUAAAUGCUGUUCAUUGAUGGGCGUCAUCACGCAUUUACAUAUUAAUCUUGGAUUAGCAUGAUGCAAACAAAAAUGUCAUCAGUUACUGCUUUUGUGGCAAGGUGGUCUGCAAUGAUAUAGCUCAAAUCUAGUGUUUUCACCUGUAGUUGAAUGUUUCUGGUCACUCAGGUAAUGUUGUAGGUGUAAUAUGUAAAAUACAUGUAAAUUAUUAAAUACUAUUACGAAAUAGUAUUUGUAAGUGAAUUUUUGGCAGUCUUUAAGAGUAGUUGGAUUUUGGAAAACGUUUUCGAUUUUAUUGUGAUGCUCAUUAUGGUAGAGAUAAUGAUCAAUGCUAUCCCAAAAUCUUGUAUAUUGCUUAUUCUGUAGUUUCACAGAAUACAAUGUGGUAAUUUGUAAUUUUGUUUGACCUGUCCUUGUUUUACUGUUAAAAAUAACUUAAGAUAUACCGGUACCAACAACUUGAUAGUUUUAAAGAACAACCGAGUACAUGACCACUUUUGUUUUAUUUUACACACUUGAUUAUACAUCACAACAGGUAAUAUAAAUCUAGUUUUCAUUGAACCUGUACUGUAUAAAGUGACAUAACCCUUUGAAACUGCCCUUUGUUAUACAUCAGAACCACACGAACGCUGCUUUUUACAAUAAAAUUCAAAAGCCCAUGAUAAUUGCGAUGACAAAAUGAUUCGUUUACUAUCAAAAUAUUGAUGAAAACCUGCAAACAUUACUGUCUGUGUUUAAACAACUUCAGUAGCCCUGAUUUACUAUAUUACUAAAAUUGUAAUGUACAAUAGACUCCUGCAAAAUGGCAGUGGGUAAAAAAGAACUAUUUGUUAUUUGAUUAUAACCAAUGUGCAAAAUUUUCUCACCUACAAAUCAACAACAAAUCUACUAAUGAUCACAAAGGGUUAGAUAUGAGGAUAUUGUGUCUGGCCAACUGACAACUAGCUCUCCAAUGUCAAGAAAACAUACAUAGGAAUGCAAUAUAGAAAAUGUAUUAAUUGACAAUUUUGAA